CGGACUGCGCAGGAGGGAUACUUCAUUCCGGAACCAGAACUGCGGAUCACGUUUAUAAAGGUUCCCGUAACACAGACUGUUGAGAAAGAUUCAACUGCCGAAUUCAGAACUCAUCAGCUGGGGAACGAAGUGAGAAAUGGCUUUACCAGAUAUGUUUGGCCUUGAACUUUUUCUAGUGUUAGGAGCCCUUUUGUUCCUUUUCACAUGUUAUAUAGUGCUUAAGACAGGGCUAAAAAUUCUAGAGAAAAUUCAGGACAAGCUAUCAGAAGUAAAGCG
rnacentral:lncRNA from 1 species